rnacentral:rRNA from 1 species
UUAUUUGAGAGUUUGAUCCUGGCUCAGGAUGAACGCUGGCGGUGUGCCUUAGGCAUGCAAGUCGGACGGGAUUUACACCUUCGGGUGUAAUGAGAGUGGCAGACGGGUGAGUAACGCGUAGAUAUCUACCUUAUAGUAAGGAAUAGCUCAUCGAAAGGUGGGGUAAUACCAUAUAGUUCCCUCAGGGGUAAAGGCUUCGGCCGCUAUAAGAGGAGUCUGCGUCCUAUCAGGCAGUUGGUGGGGUAAUGGCCUACCAAACCUAUGACGGGUAGCCGGUGUGAGAGCACGACCGGCCACAAGGUCACUGAGACACGGGACCUACAUCUACGGAUGGCAGCAACCGGGAAUUUUGCGCAAUGGGCGAAAGCCUGACGCAGCGACACCGCGUGUGGGAAGAAGUUCUUCGGAAUGUAAACUACUGUGGCGAGGGAAGAAGUAUGACUGUACCUCGCUAGAAAGCACCUGCUAACUACGUGCCAGAAGCCUCGGUAAUACGUAGGGUGCAAGCGUUAUCCGGAUUUACUGGGCGUAAAGAGUUCCGUCGGCGUCUUUAUAAGUUGCUUGUUUAAUCCUGUGGCUCAACCUCAGACCAGCAAGCAAAACUAUAAGGAUUGAGUCUGUUUGGAGAAGCUAGAAUUCUUGGUGGAGGGGUGAAAUCCGUAGAUAUCAAGAGGAAUACCAGUCGCGAAGGCGGGCUUCUAAAACAGCACUGACGCUCAGGGACGAAAGCUUGGGUAGCAAAAGGGAUUAGAGACCCCUGUAGUCCAAGCCGUAAACACUGUUCGCUAGUUGCCUGCUUUUCUUUGCAUAUUUUUAAUGCAAGUUAAAGAGUAUGCAGGGAAAAGUGGGUGACGUAAGGUAACCCGUUAAGCGAACCGCCUGGGGAGUACGACCGCAAGGUUAAAACUCAAAGGAAUUGACGGGGGAGCGCACAACCGGUGGAGCAUGUGGUUUAAUUCGAUACAAAGCGAAAAACCUUACCCAGAUUUGACAUGUACCUGCACGUUUUGGGAAACCAGAACUUCUUCGAGAGUGGUACACAGGUGAUGCAUGGCUGUCGUCAGCUCGUGUCGUGAGACGUCCACUUAAGUGUGGUAACGAGCGCAACCCUUGCUGUCAGUUACAAGUGUCUGACAGGACUGCCCCGCCUCUGGCGGGGAGGAAGGAGAGGACGACGUCAAGUCAGCAUGUCCCUUACAUCUGGGGCUACACACAUCCUACAAUGGAGCCGACAACGGGUCGCAAAGGGGUAACCCUGAGCCAAUCCUAAAAACGGCUCCUCAGUUCAGAUUGAGGGCUGCAAUUCGCCCUCAUGAAGCCGGAAUCGGUAGUAAUCGCAAAUCAGCAGGUUGCGGUGAAUACGUUCUCGCUCCUUGUACACACUGCCCGUCAAGCCAGCAAAGUCAGCAACGCCCGAAGCGGGUGACCGUAACUCUUAGGAGAGCGGCCCUUCUACGGCGAGGUUGGCGAUGAGGACUAAGUCGUAACAAGGUAUCCGUACUGGAAGGUGCGGAUGGAUCACCUCCUUU